AGAUACCUGUAGUCCACGCCGUAAACGAUGUCGACUAGCCGUUGGGACCUUUAAGGACUUAGUGGCGCAGUUAACGCGAUAAGUCGACCGCCUGGGGAGUACGGCCGCAAGGUUAAAACUCAAAUGAAUUGACGGGGGCCCGCACAAGCGGUGGAGCAUGUGGUUUAAUUCGAUGCAACGCGAAGAACCUUACCUACCCUUGACAUCCAGAGAACUUGGCAGAGAUGCCUUGGUGCCUUCGGGAACUCUGAGACAGGUGCUGCAUGGCUGUCGUCAGCUCGUGUUGUGAAAUGUUGGGUUAAGUCCCGUAACGAGCGCAACCCUUGUCCUUAUUUGCCAGCACGUAAUGGUGGGAACUCUAAGGAGACUGCCGGUGACAAACCGGAGGAAGGUGGGGACGACGUCAAGUCAUCAUGGCCCUUACGGGUAGGGCUACACACGUGCUACAAUGGCCGGUACAAAGGGUUGCGAGAGCCGCGAGGCUGGAGCGAAUCCCAGAAAGCCGGCCUACAGUCCGGAUCGGAGUCUGCAACUCGACUCCGUGAAGUCGGAAUCGCUAGUAAUCGUGAAUCAGAAUGUCACGGUGAAUACGUUCCCGGGCACUUGUACACACCGCCCGUCACACCAUGGGAGUGGACUGCACCAGAAGUGGUUAGCUUAACCUUCGGGGGAGCGAUCCCCACGGUGUG
rnacentral:rRNA from 1 species